GAAAGAUGGCUAUGGCUAUCACUCUGGGAUGGACCUGCGGUGCAUUAGCUAGUUGGUAAGGUAACGGCUUACCAAGGCGAUGAUGCAUAGCCGAGUUGAGAGACUGAUCGGCCACAAUGGAACUGAGACACGGUCCAUACUCCUACGGGAGGCAGCAGUAGGGAAUCUUCCACAAUGGGCGCAAGCCUGAUGGAGCAACACCGCGUGAGUGAAGAAGGGUUUCGGCUCGUAAAGCUCUGUUGUUGGAGAAGAACGUGCGUGAGAGUAACUGUUCACGCAGUGACGGUAUCCAACCAGAAAGUCACGGCUAACUACGUGCCAGCAGCCGCGGUAAUACGUAGGUGGCAAGCGUUAUCCGGAUUUAUUGGGCGUAAAGCGAGCGCAGGCGGUUGCUUAGGUCUGAUGUGAAAGCCUUCGGCUUAACCGAAGAAGUGCAUCGGAAACCGGGCGACUUGAGUGCAGAAGAGGACAGUGGAACUCCAUGUGUAGCGGUGGAAUGCGUAGAUAUAUGGAAGAACACCAGUGGCGAAGGCGGCUGUCUGGUCUGCAACUGACGCUGAGGCUCGAAAGCAUGGGUAGCGAACAGGAUUAGAUACCCUGGUAGUCCAUGCCGUAAACGAUGAGU
rnacentral:rRNA from 1 species